UUGAACAGUUCCAGCGUGGCAGGUACAAAACAUGGCGUUCUCCAACGACCAGCGGUGCGUUUUCCCGACCGACGACCUCGAACCCCACGGCCAGCACCCCGAGCAGCAGCAAUCCACGACAAUUUCUUCAUUUCGACACGUUUUGACGUUGACCCACUCUUAUUCGGACCCAAAUCGGCGUUACCCAUCGCUCUUUGUGCCAAGACAGCCAGCCUAACGCUUUUCGAACUCGAAUUUGGGAGCCUGAAACCUCCUUGGCGUCUACCCAUUUCAAACCCAAGUUGUUUCAGUGAGAGUUAGAAGUGUUCAACGAGCUUAGGAGCUUUAGGACACUUGUUUGUAAGUAGCACGGGGGCGGGUGUGUGCGUUGAUGUUUAUUAUUUGGUUGCCGAUGUACUGUUUAUGAUGUUUAAUAUUGGUUCUGAUACGUUCUUGUGCAGUGUAACUUUUGUUUAUGUUGGUUCGUAUGCCUGGGUAGUGUUGAAUAUCCGUCGGUGAUAAUAGUGGAAAUUUUGUAUUGUUGAGCUGCUGAGAUCUGUUGUAGAAUGAUGUAUGUUUGUAGGGAAUGUUCGUUAAAGUAAAUUUAUUUUGGGAAUGUUUGUUGUCUGAAUUUGUAUGAAGUGUUUGGCGUGUCUCAUGAGUCUUAUUAUAUCUAGUAAUGCUUAUUGAAUAUAGAUGUUGGAUAUUAAGUGUUUGGAUGGAUUGUGUUGGGCGUGUUCUUGAAAGUUUUCUGAACUGCUAUGUGAAAAGUAUGUUAUGUGAAACAUGCCAUAGGAUUAUUCGUUGAAGCUUUAGUGUGCUCUAUGUUGUGAGUAGGUUGGUUGUUAUCAAAUUUUGUGUUAUGGAGAUUCGUGAUGCAUUGAAAUCUUACUAGUGGUUGUGUUGUUGAUGGGCGUUGUGGUGGUUGGUGUUAUUAGGGAAUUAAUACUGGAAUCUUGGUUGGAGGCUAGAAAUGAUAUGUGGAGUUUUGGAAGUUAUGAAGUGAAUGGAUGUGUGUCAAGGCCUCGGGUAUAAAUGGUCGAGGGUCGAUGCACUAGUGUCGGGGCUCUGGGUAAAAAUGGUCAGGGGCCGACACUACCAACAGAUCCCACCUAAGAUGGUUUAUGCAUGAUUGUUUUGGCAAUAAACCUUUUUGUUCUAAGUGAAUUGAGGGGAGAUCCCACCUAUUGUUUAAACUUGACUCGAAAUAAGUGUUUCUUUCAUUUUCUUUCGUUCACUGAAAUCGUUUAGUAUGAAUAAUGGAUGUUGCCUGGUGGUGUUGUCCACGGAGGACGCUUGAAUGAUAGUUUAUAGAAUUGAUGUUUUAUUUUUGUUAUA